GACGAGAGGCCAAGCGUUGUCCGGAUUGACUGGGCGUAAAGCGCACGCAGGCGGAUGCGCGCGUGGGGUGUGAAAUCUGGCCGCCUAACGGCCAGGCGCCAUCCCAUACGGCGCGUCUGGAGUGAUGCAGAGGUCGAUGGAAUUGCCGGUGUAGUGAUGAAAUGCGUAGAGAUCGGCAGGAACACCCAGGGGGAAACCAGUCGACUGGGCAUCUACUGACGCUGAGGUGCGAGAGCGUGGGGAGCGAACCGGG
rnacentral:rRNA from 1 species